rnacentral:rRNA from 1 species
UACGUAGGGCGCAAGCGUUGUCCGGAAUUAUUGGGCGUAAAGAGCUCGUAGGCGGUCCGUUACGUCGGAAGUGAAAACCCGGGGCUCAACCCCGGGCCUGCUUUCGAUACGGGCAGACUAGAGUAUGGCAGGGGAGACUGGAAUUCCUGGUGUAGCGGUGAAAUGCGCAGAUAUCAGGAGGAACACCGGUGGCGAAGGCGGGUCUCUGGGCCAUCACUGACGCUGAGGAGCGAAAGCGUGGGGAGCAAACAGG